CUGAACUUCCCCAGAGUGACGGCGGGUCGGUGUCGGGGGGUGUCUCUGUGCAGCCGGUCGGGCAGAUGUGUGUAUUUGUGUCUCGCCGGGCACAAAGUGAACCGUGUUUUCACCAAACCUCAGGAGGUCUACGAGAAACAGAAGAGAACAGAGAAAUAUCCCCUUAAGAAAGCACCCGAACAGACCGAGAAAGGCGGUUUUAGGACAAAUCAGCGGGAAGACGGGCUUCAAUCAGGGAAGACAGGCUUUAAUCAGCACCAGAAGCCUAAUGAGAGAUGUGUUUUCAUGAUAAUGAGAGUUAAAACCCACAAAUGAGCCUGGGAGAGGCUGAUUGUCACAAAGAGCUGUGAGUCAUUUCUCUUCAGUGCUCACCAGUGGGGCAUUUCAAGGGUUAAUUUCUGCCUUUUGGCUACAGCCCUUGUAAACACAUUUUGGCUGCACAGGAAGUGCAGCGGGUACCUCUAGAAGAGCAGAAGAAACUACUCAUGUCUGUUUUUACUGCUGAGAAAAACGGUUUGAAAUCCUCCUUCAGCGAAACCUCAAGUAGCUGCCGACAGCUCUGCCCUGCCUCAGUUUCCCCAGCCCUGGGUGCCCAGAGGGGCUUUGGCAUCCAAAUAAGAGACGACUCUGGGAAGAAAAGAACAAAAUAAGGGAGAAAUAAAAUAUAAGCUGUUUAUACUGUAGAAAAG